CUGCUAUUGGAAUAGGAACUACCAGCUUUUCUAAAGAGACUGAAGAUUUGGACCAUGCAGAGGGAAUGGCUCCAUGUUACCUUGAGGGGAUUGAGAGGAUUCAUGGGCUGAAGGUAACAGAAGGGGAACGCGCAGAACUUCAGCUGCAAUAAAGGUGAUGGAAAUAUAAGCGUGAAAGGAGAAGAGCUCUGAUUGUGCACCUCUUGGGCUGAGAAGGGAUGCAGCCCGAAGCUUUGCUGAUGCACAAUGGUCCCUGCGUGCCACCAGCGCCCAAGCAUUAUUCCUGGUGAUGUUAACUUCACAUGAGCCUGAUGGUGUUAAAGGACACAAAACCAAUCCAACAAAAGCUUGCACUAGAGCCUUGAAGACAAAUGAGACCAGUCGGGUGCCAAGAGCAAAGCGAGGCAGAGGAGGGAGAGGGGCCCCUCGGAAAGCCGCAGGAGGAGGAAGGCCAGCAGCGCUGUUCGCAGGGAUGUGGUUCCUGCUGCAGCUCCACCAGCAGACAUGGAGACAGCCCAGCA